rnacentral:rRNA from 1 species
UCGAGGGCUUUACUGUCUCUUACUUCCAAUSYGKGAAAUUGGGACCUUCCCGUGAAGAGGCGGGAAUAUGACAAUAAGACGAGAAGACCCUAUGGAGCUUUAAUUAACCGACCCAAAGAGAUCUUGAUAAUCAACCGACAGGGAUAACAUACCUCUACCAUGGGCCGACAAUUUAGGUUGGGGUGACCUCGGAGAAUAAAACAACCUCCGAGUGAUUUAAAUCUAGACUAACUAGUCGAAAGUACUACAUCACUUAUUGAUCCAAAAACUUGAUCAACGGAAACAAGUUACCCUAGGGAWAACAGGCGGCAAUCYUAUUUUAGAGUCCAUAUCGACAAUAGGAUUGCG